GACGAACGCUGGCGGCGUGCUUAACACAUGCAAGUCGAACGGAAAGGCCCUGCUUUUGUGGGGUGCUCGAGUGGCGAACGGGUGAGUAACACGUGAGUAACCUGCCCUUGACUUUGGGAUAACUUCAGGAAACUGGGGCUAAUACCGGAUAGGAGCUCCUGCUGCAUGGUGGGGGUUGGAAAGUUUCGGCGGUUGGGGAUGGACUCGCGGCUUAUCAGCUUGUUGGUGGGGUAGAGGCUUACCAAGGCUUUGACGGGUAGCCGGCCUGAGAGGGUGACCGGCCGCAGUGGGACUGAAAUACGGCCCAGACUCCUACGGGAUGCAGCAGUGGGGAAUAUUGCACAAUGGGCGGAAGCCUGAUGCAGCAACGCCGCGUGCGGGAUGACGGCCUUCGGGUUGUAAACCGCUUUCGCCUGUGACGAAGCGUGAGUGACGGUAAUGGGUAAAGAAGCACCGGCUAACUACGUG
rnacentral:rRNA from 1 species